UACGUAGGGGGCGAGCGUUGUCCGGAAUUAUUGGGCGUAAAGCGCGUGUAGGCGGCUUGGUAAGUCUGGUGUGAAACCUCGGGGCUCAACCCCGAGCCUGCAUCGGAUACUGCCUCGCUCGAGUUCGGGAGGGGAGAGCGGAAUUCCUAGUGUAGCGGUGGAAUGCGCAGAUAUUAGGAAGAACACCUGUGGCGAAGGCGGCUCUCUGGAACGAUACUGACGCUGAGACGCGAAAGCGUGGGGAGCGAACAGG
rnacentral:rRNA from 1 species